rnacentral:ncRNA from 1 species
AAAUCGCCAUCGACCAAGCAAGUAGCAAUAACUAGGGCUGACACAGAGAAGGAAAAACAUCGGCUGCAAUUUUUCCUACAGUACGUUCAUUGCGAAUAACACUUGAGAGGCUUUUUCUCGAAAUGCUUAUGCAUAGUAGGGAAAAACGGAAUCGGCCGUUAUCCGAAUUUCGAGAGGGUGUAAUCUAAUUAUGCCAACUAGGGUGGAACCGCGGAACUGAUGAAUCAGCUUUCGUCCCUUGC